ACGAACGCUGGCGGCGUGCCUAAUACAUGCAAGUCGAACGAACUCUGGUAUUGAUUGGUGCUUGCAUCAUGAUUUACAUUUGAGUGAGUGGCGAACUGGUGAGUAACACGUGGGAAACCUGCCCAGAAGCGGGGGAUAACACCUGGAAACAGAUGCUAAUACCGCAUAACAACUUGGACCGCAUGGUCCGAGUUUGAAAGAUGGCUUCGGCUAUCACUUUUGGAUGGUCCCGCGGCGUAUUAGCUAGAUGGUGGGGUAACGGCUCACCAUGGCAAUGAUACGUAGCCGACCUGAGAGGGUAAUCGGCCACAUUGGGACUGAGACACGGCCCAAACUCCUACGGGAGGCAGCAGUAGGGAAUCUUCCACAAUGGACGAAAGUCUGAUGGAGCAACGCCGCGUGAGUGAAGAAGGGUUUCGGCUCGUAAAACUCUGUUGUUAAAGAAGAACAUAUCUGAGAGUAACUGUUCAGGUAUUGACGGUAUUUAACCAGAAAGCCACGGCUAACUACGUGCCAGCAGCCGCGGUAAUACGUAGGUGGCAAGCGUUGUCCGGAUUUAUUGGGCGUAAAGCGAGCGCAGGCGGUUUUUUAAGUCUGAUGUGAAAGCCUUCGGCUCAACCGAAGAAGUGCAUCGGAAACUGGGAAACUUGAGUGCAGAAGAGGACAGUGGAACUCCAUGUGUAGCGGUGAAAUGCGUAGAUAUAUGGAAGAACACCAGUGGCGAAGGCGGCUGUCUGGUCUGUAACUGACGCUGAGGCUCGAAAGUAUGGGUAGCAAACAGGAUUAGAUACCCUGGUAGUCCAUACCGUAAACGAUGAAUGCUAAGUGUUGGAGGGUUUCCGCCCUUCAGUGCUGCAGCUAACGCAUUAAGCAUUCCGCCUGGGGAGUACGGCCGCAAGGCUGAAACUCAAAGGAAUUGACGGGGGCCCGCACAAGCGGUGGAGCAUGUGGUUUAAUUCGAAGCUACGCGAAGAACCUUACCAGGUCUUGACAUACUAUGCAAAUCUAAGAGAUUUAGACGUUCCCUUCGGGGACAUGGAUACAGGUGGUGCAUGGUUGUCGUCAGCUCGUGUCGUGAGAUGUUGGUUAAGUCCCGCAACGAGCNCAACCCUUAUUAUCA
rnacentral:rRNA from 2 species